CCCUUAGAUGUUCUGGGCCGCACGCGCGCUACACUGUUCGACGCAGCGAGUCUUAACCUUGACCGAAAGGUUUGGGUAAUCUUCAGCAAAGUCGAACGUGAUGGGGAUCGAUCAUUGCAAUUAUUGAUCGUGAACGAGGAAUUCCUAGUAAGUGCAAGUCAUCAGCUUGCGUUGAUUACGUCCCUGCCCUUUGUACACACCGCCCGUCGCUACUACCGAUUGAAUGGUUUAGUGAGGCCUUCGGAUCCGCGACUCGUUUUGUGGAGAAGUUGGACAAACUCAGUCAUUUAGAGGAAGUAAAAGUCGUAACA
rnacentral:rRNA from 1 species